rnacentral:lncRNA from 1 species
UUUUGUGGAAUUAGGUUAUACCACCGGGCAUGGAGUUCAGCAGUGUUGCAACACAAGAUUCAUUUGAUGGCGAUGGAGAUCUGAGAUCAUUGAUUGGCACUGACAGAACCCAGAAAAGACCUAUACCGCCAAUUUGGUCUGAGGUUAAAAUCUUUAUCAUUCACAUGAAAGUGCAAAAAUUAAUAUGUUUCUCUAACAUGCCAAUCAAAUAAAGCUGAUUACUCUGUCUCUAAGCUAAAGGGUUACCAUUUUUAUUGCAAAUUGUGUAAACACGAGAACAAAAUAGGAAUAUCAUACUGUACCACUAAUCAAAAGGAAGACGACAUGUCUUAUGUAUGCUUUUGACAAAAUUUUGUCAAAUUUUGUUCAAUGCAGAUCAUGCGAUUUUUUACGAACCCUCACAAGCCCAUGAUACUAGCAUUGUCCC